UAAAUUUGAUCACCGAAUCUACAAAUUAGAUCCCCAAGAUCAUAUUCUCGAUUUAAUUUCUCUUCCGUUUUUGUUUCACUUUGACUGCUGCUUUGAAGAGAUUUUUCAGCGUCGAAUGAUUUGGAGCCAGCUAAGCUAAUACAAUAUUCUUUGUAAGAACAGUUGACUGGUUUGGUCUACGGCUCGUCCUAGGUUACGUGUGGUCUCCGGUCGGGGAGCAAUGGCCCGUAGGCCAUCCCACGGCCAAAGCCAGGCUCCUUUUCUUUCUCCGCACAACUGCGUGGUGUAUUUUGAUUGGUUGAUUAGGUCGGCAUGCACGUAAGUCGCAAACGUGUCACUUUGCCAAAAUUCAAAGUUGAAGAGUUCACAGGCACUUAUAUUUUAAUGUCGGUAUUUUCGAGCUCGUUUAACCUACACUGCGCUGCUCGCAAUCAAUUUUGAAGCCCGAAUCCGCUGAGUAAACUAUGCGAAAGUACAAAUGGGCAACUGACGCAUGCCAGGGCAACGUACAGAAAAAGAAAAGAUCAAAAAGAGAGAGAGAGAGAGAGAGAGAGAGGGAAGGGGGAAAAAAAAAGAAAAUACAUGUAUCUUUUAGGUUAUUAGGUACAAUCAAGUGUGCGACCUUGAAGUUGGUCCACCA
rnacentral:lncRNA from 1 species